rnacentral:rRNA from 1 species
CUGGCGGCGUGCCUAAUACAUGCAAGUCGAGCGGAAUGAUGAAGAAGCUUGCUUCUUCUGAUUUUAGCGGCGGACGGGUGAGUAACACGUGGGCAACCUACCUUGUAGAUUGGGAUAACUCCGGGAAACCGGGGCUAAUACCGAAUAAUCCAUUUUGCUUCAUGGCGAGAUGUUGAAAGACGGUUUAGGCUGUCACUACAAGAUGGGCCCGCGGCGCAUUAGCUAGUUGGUAGGGUAAUGGCCUACCAAGGCGACGAUGCGUAGCCGACCUAAGAGGGUGAUCGGCCACACUGGGACUGAGACACGGCCCAGACUCCUACGGGAGGCAGCAGUAGGGAAUCUUCCACAAUGGACGAAAGUCUGAUGGAGCAACGCCGCGUGAGUGAAGAAGGUUUUCGGAUCGUAAAACUCUGUUGUAAGGGAAGAACACGUACGAGAGUAACUGCUCGUACCUUGACGGUACCUUAUUAGAAAGCCACGGCUAGCUACGUG